UAUGCUUGAGACUAUGCUACUAUUUUUAUGUGUAUCCGUAAUAUACUUGAAAACACUUGCAUCCAUGUACACUUGAAUAGCUUGAAACCUGCUUAAGGGCUCUUGAGGGGGAAGAGAACUGGGUCGUUCUGCUGGGUCAUCAAAAGGCAAGACCAAAAUCGAAGUUUACGGCAAAGACAGAAAGAAAGGUGCUGGAUCUUUGAUUACUGCUGCAAAGGAAGGAGCACCUUCAAAGAAGAGGAAGCAUGAGGAAGUAGAACCAACAUCUGCUGGGGAGGCUCCUGUCCAAGAAGGGGAUGACGAAGAGAAAAAGGAGAAACAGAAGAAGAAGAAAAAGAAAGUUGAGAUAGAGAGCAGCAUGUUUGAAAAUAACGAUCAUGUUGCUGUAGAAGCAGCAGAAGAACCAGCGAAGAAGAAGAAGAAAACCGAAGCUGCUAUGGAGAAUCAGGUUCAGGAUGAUCUACCAGAAGCUGAUCAGGCAAAAGAAAAAGAAGAAAAAGGAGAAGAGGAAAAAAGAUAAGAAGAAGAGGCAGUGAUGCAUUUGAGGGAGCAUGUUGUCCUCUGUGAUACUGUAGGUUAACACCUUGCGCAGUUUUCAGCUCAUUUAUAUAGGCUUCAAGGUGGCAAAAUUUUUGAGUAAUCUUCUUUAAUUUGGUGUUAAUUCAAUGCUUGCUGUGUUCCCUUCA